rnacentral:rRNA from 1 species
ACACGUGCUACAAUGGCCGAGACAAAGAGAAGCGAGGGCGCGAGCCGGAGCGAAUCUACACGAAAAGCGGUCACAGUUCGGAUUGUGGGCUGCAACCCGCCCACAUGAAGCAGGAGUUGCUAGUAAUCGCGGAUCAGCAUGCCGGCGGUGAAUUACCGGUUCCCCGGGUCCUU